rnacentral:lncRNA from 1 species
GGCGUGCCGCUGCAAACUGGCCUCUGGGCCGGGGGCGAGCAGCCCCCGGGAGGCCGAGUGCAUCUGUUGGACCGUGCGAGGAGAAGAAAAAAAAUAUCGGCCAGAGGAGAGGAACUAACCGAACAUUCUUCCUCCCUACCUUAUAGAGGGGAGUGGUCAUCUACACUAAAGCAAAGUGUUAGGCGCGUCCGUGCGAAGAGACCACCAAACAGGCUUUGUGUUCCUUAUCACAGGAAGAAAAUUUUCCUUGACCUUUAGGUGCUUUUAUAUUCAUCUCAAAAACAAAAUUCUGAACUCAGGACUUGGCAAGCUGAAGUGCAAUGGCGCAAUCUCAGCUCACUGCAACCUCCGCCUCCCGGGUUCAAGCGAUUCUCCUGCCUCAGCCUCCUGAGUAGCUGACAUUAUAGGCACCUGCCACCACGCCCAGCUAAUUUUUGUAUUUUUAGUAGAGAUGGGGUUUCACCAUAUUGGGCAGGCUCGUCUUGAACUCCUGACCUCGUGAUCCGCCCACCUUAGCCUCCCAAAAUGCUGAGAUUGGAGGUGUGAGCCACCGCGCCUGGCCAGUGUGUCCUUUCUUAAUUGACAGUGACAUUAUAUCUGCAAAAUAGGCUUCAUACCUACUGUGUUAGUUUUAGUUUCCUAGGCCUGCUGUAACAAAGCACCACAAAUUGGGUAGCUUAGAAUAACAGAAAUUGUUUGAUAGUUAUAAAUAAAGGUCAGAUGUCUAAAACCAAAGUGUUGGCAGGGCCGUCCCUCUGAAGGCACUGAAAAAAAAAUUUCCAGUCCUUCUAAUUUCUUGUGGUUCCUUAACUUGUGGCAGCAUAACUCCAGUCUUCACAUGAAGUUCUUCCU